AAAAUUGUUGGAAUUAUCAUUUUACUUUCUUUCAGACUGCUCACCAUUCAGAAUAGGUUUCAUUGAGCCUAGUGGUAUAGAAGGUUUGUACUUAUAUAUAUAGUUUCCCAGAAAAUCAAUAUAAGCAUAUCACAUUUGGGUCAGUUUACAGUGAUAAGUUUUGCUUCAAAACACAUCAAGAUACAGAAGGUUUCUUUAAGUUUUUCAUUCAUUAGAGCUAAAUGAAGACUAUUAUCAGAUCCAUACCACUUGGAUUUAUUCAAUUGAUUGAUUGAUUCAAUACCCUGCCUUUGUGUUCUAAUAAAUAUAGUAUCUAGUAAAAUUAAAACAAACGAAUCACACCAGAACAGGUGGGAGUGUGAGUUAUGUCUUCCAUCAGAACUGAAAAUUUGUCUAAUGCAAUUGUAUGACAAGAAAUUUGCAAAGAAAAAUGCAUGAAGUCAGCUAGCAGAAAUGUUGCAUGUUCUAAAGAAGGUGGGAAAUACAGUGAGAGCUAUCAUCAAUGGAAAUAUUUUAAUUCCUUUGCUUUUGAUCCAACCGCAGAAGAUUAUAGCUACAAAAUAACUUGAUGGAGUCCCAGUCAUUUGCUAAAGAGCGUUUUAAUGACAGGAAAUAAAAGUGAAAUAAUUGCUUCACUCAUAAACAUUAUAUAUUGCUUUUCAUUGAAGCAUGACUAUCAAAGUCCUGCACUAUUGUACGAUUUGUGUGUGUG